rnacentral:rRNA from 1 species
AAACCUGCGAAACUCGAAUGAACGAACGGAGAGAUUCAUCGACAUCCGACGGAGCGCGGGCGCGCGCCUCGAUGCAACGCCCGACCCCCUCGCGGGUGCCGCGGCGCGGCACGGGUCGCGUCCGUGAAUCGGCACCGUCGGCGUCGUGCACUUCUCUCUCAGUAAUGCAUCGCGACCCGUUCGACGUCGGCUUAAGCGCCGUCCGACUCGCCCAGCGGCGGUGGGCAACCGCACGCCGCUGGACCGCGACGGUCGCCGGCCGGCCGUCGGACGGUACACGUAGUGAAUCGCGCACGCGCCCUAGCGCGCGUCCGGCCCGACGCAAGCUCGCGCCGUCUCAUAAUGGUCGCGGUCCUGCCGUAGCGCGGACCGCGACGCGGCGCCGCUGUCGUCGCAGCCGUGUAGUCUCGGACCGUGCGCGUCUCUGUCUGCGAUGGGUC